rnacentral:rRNA from 1 species
CAGUAGCCGCGGGAACACGGAGGGUGCAAGCGUUAAUCGGAAUUACUGGGCGUAAAGCGCACGCAGGCGGUCUGACAAGUCAGAUGUGAAAUCCCCGGGCUUAACCUGGGAACUGCAUUUGAAACUGUCAGGCUGGAGUCUUGUAGAGGGGGGUGGAAUUCCAGGUGUAGCGGUGAAAUGCGUAGAGAUCUGGAGGAAUACCGGUGGUGAAGGCGGCCCCCUGGACAAAGACUGACGCUCAGGUGCGAAAGCGUGGGGAGCAAACAGGAUUAGAUACCCGCGUAGUCCCUGUCUCUUAUAC